UACGUAGGGGGCAAGCGUUGUCCGGAAUCAUUGGGCGUAAAGAGCGCGUAGGCGGCCCUGUAAGUCCGCUGUGAAAGCCUGUGGCUCAACCACAGAAUUGCCUUCGAUACUGUUAGGCUUGAGACCGGAAGAGGUAAGUGGAACUGCGAGUGUAGAGGUGAAAUUCGUAGAUAUUCGCAAGAACACCAGUGGCGAAGGCGGCUUACUGGUCCGGUUCUGACGCUGAGGCGCGAAAGCGUGGGGAGCAAACAGG
rnacentral:rRNA from 1 species